GAGCUUGGAGCCGCAGGGCUUAAUCCCGCGCGGCUCAGAGAUGGGUUUCUGGACUCGCGAAGCAGCUGCAACAAGGCAUCACUCACUGUAUAAGUAUUUCCAUUUCUGAGAGCAAAAGGAAGAACUUAAGCGGGCGGCACUUGGAGUGUAAAUUGCUUUGUAGUAUUUAAAGGCAGAAUGGAUCCUGGGCAGCCGAGCUGAUCAUGAGGUUCCUGAGGCCUCCUAGCCAUGCUUCCUGUGCAGCCUAUGGAACUGAUCACUGUUGUAUUUUUAAACCUUAUUCCUGGAAGCACUACGGAUAUCAGAUCAAUUUAGAAAGCCAAAGAGUACCUCUGGGAAUGAAAUGGUAGUAAUAGAAACAAUAUUUGGCCAAACUAUCGCUGUAUGCCAAUGAUGCCAAAAAUCACAGUAACCUGGCAGCAACAAACCGGCAGGACUUCCUGUGAAAUCAUGACCACCAUGUGCUCUUUCAGCCUCUAUCAGUUCCUACCUCUAAGCACCUGAGAGCCAAAGCAAACCACAGGAAACCACAGACUCAAACUAAACGUCAGCUUUUCCCGGCUCUCAAGCCUGCUGGUCCCUGAACUAAAACUCACAUUAUCAACUCUACUGGUUCUUAGGCCUUUGGAGUCAGACUGGAACUACAGCAUUGACUCUUCCGGAACUCCAGCUUACUGACUACAGAUCUUGGAACUUUUCAGCUUCCACAACCAUAAUGAAAGCCAAGCAUAUUCCAUCAUUUCCUAAAACCAAGAUAGAGCACAUAUGGGAACUUGUGAAAUAAGGAUGCCCUGCGGUUGUUUUCAGGACUGAAGACAACAGCUCCACGAUGUAUCUUUGCAUAAGAAUACACUUGUAUAAUAAGUUUUUUUUUUUAGAGAAAUUGCAUGUAUCUGCCUUAUAAACUUUUUCAUUCAUUCAUUUUCUUUCUUCCUAAUCUGUUCCAUAAAGCAAAUUUCUAACUUAUUGUUAAUCAAAAUAAUUAUUGAAAUAAUUAGUACUUUCAUAUGAUAAAGAUUAUUUUAAUCUGCAGCUACAAAAUAUGUAACUCAUUAAUAUUUAAACAAUCACAAUUUUCUAUUAACAUUAUAGCAUUUUAUCUACUACUAGAUCAGGAAUUAGCUAUUUUUUGUAAAAUUUCUUUGUAAGGCAAAGCAAUAGUAUUGUAUAUACUUUCCUAAAGAUUGUCAAGUUCAGUUUUGCUUAAAUUUAACAGUACAUGUGACACUUUCUGUUUGAAGAAUAAGUUGGUUUUAAGUUUAUACCAAACAAAAGCAUCUCUUUUGUUUUGCAAAAUCUGAAACUUUGAUCUUUCUAGUUGUGACUUCUUGUAAAUAUGUUUUAUAUAAAUAUUCUAUGAAUUGGUUAUUAACAAGGUAAAGAAAGAUUGAUAUGUAAGCUGAUUCUUAAACAUUAAUUUUCUGGAGAUAAACUUUUUUAAAAUUAUGCUUUAAAAAUAUUUUAACACAUGUUAUCAAAAAGGAACUGAAAUAUCUUAGGCAUAAAAGACAUCUCUAGAGGUCAUUAUUCAGUUUCCAGAAAGUACUGAAACUAUCUCUGACAGAUUGAUACGUUUUCUGCAUUUAUAGCUCUCUGGAGAGAGGUUCUGUAUAUUUAACAAUUCUCACUGUGAGGGAUAUUUUAAGUAUUUCAAAUUUAAAGUGCUCAUGUUUCAGAUUCAGAUUAUUAUUAUCAUCAUCAUUAUUUUGGUUCUGGCUUCAGUAAAAAUGUGAAAAACACUUUUCCAUCUUCUGAUAAUAUUUCAUAUUUAUAAAAUUAUUAUUAAGUUAUAACUCAGCUUUUUCAUUUAUGCUUUAAAUCCUUUUAUUAUCUCAUCACAACCAUCUUUGACUGUUUAUCAGAAAUGGUUCUCUUUUGUACAUUGACCAUUAUUUUAUAGAUCACAUUUAAGUUAAUAUAAAUCAUGCCUAUAAAUUUCAGCCUGCUUAUUUUUUAUAAUCUAGUCAGAUAUCAGCUAGACAUAUUGUUACCAAGUUUGGAGAGCCUUGGGAUAAGCUAGUUUCAAAACUGGCUGUUAGCAUCCCUCAGUUGUGUUUUGGGAGCAAAGGACACCCUUAAAAAAGGGAGGCAGUUAUAUUUUGUGAGCAUUAUAAAAUAAACUUAAAUUCUCAUAAAAUUAGUGAAUAUGUUUGGAACAGUGUGAAUUACGUGUGUGCUACAUGAAGUAUAUAGAAUUCAUUUGAAGUAGGAAGUCUGGCCUUACCUCAAAAGACAGUCAUUCAAUUAAGCAGUUAAACAUAAGCCACCAUAAGAAGUUUUUUUGAUACUUAGAGAGAGAAAGGCAACGUGUAUUAAAAUUCCGGGACCAUUAUCUCAGGAGUGCUGUGUUAUUAUUGACUGGGGGCCUGCUGGGAAGCUAGAAAUAUAUCUAAAAUGUGGCAGGUGGUUAAUUAGAGCAUAUGAAUAAAUAUAUAUAAAUUUGUUAAAGCGUUCACUUAUGGUAAACUAUACCUCAAUUAAAAAGAAAAAAUAUGCACAAAGAAAAUAAAUAAUGAAUGGAAAUAUGAGCCUCUAAAAUCAAAGUUAGAAAAGCAGAUAUUCAAAUUUGCAGAGCUGAUUGUCAACUGGAAUGAUUGUGAUAGAAUCAAGUCUCACUAGCUCAUUGGAAAUAGGAUUUGUUAAGGUAAUGAUGGUUAAUGAUUUUUCAGCAUAAUAACAGCCAAGUUAAUGUAUGGGUGCGUGUGUGUAUCCAUAGGUGUAUGUUUUUACAUGCGUAUUUUUAUUGUAAAAUUAACAUGUUUAUUGAAAACAAGAAAGCACAGAAAAUAUCAACUUAAGUAAAGAUCAACAUAAUUUAGUUCAAAAUUAUAUUCAACAGUGCAUUAUUUCAAUGUUUUUUAUCUUAAUCCAUUUGCUUGAAAGCAUUGAUAUAUGCUCCAAAUUUCCUCCCAGAUUCCACUUGGGGAAAUAUUUAGUAUAUUGGAUUAUGAAAUGAUUUAUCUUUACCUAUAUUAUUAGUAAAGUUCUUAAAAUUUUUAGCCUGUUACUGUCUAUGUGAUUAGUGAUAUUGUUCACAUGACUAAAAUUCAAAGAUAAAAUAUGAUUAUAUUUUAUGGGUGAAAGUUAGGAAGCAAAAUAGCAUAUUAAUACAUUUAACUAAAGUAGUAUUCAUUUGGAUAAUCAAGGUCAAACACUUCAAAAAUAAUAAUUUUAAAGUUAAUGCUUUCAAAAAAUAAAUUAGCAAAAAUUAUUUACUUUGUUUCUUAAAAAGAAGAAUUAUUGAAAAAAAUUCUACCAUCAAAAAAUAGUUGUUCUAUGCCUAGUUUAUUUUAGUCACUGAAUAAGACUGAGCCCUUGACCUCAUAUUUUUUCCUGCCUCACCAUUAGCAGUUAGGUUUAGCUAUGCAAACCUUUAUUUAUUCAACAUAUAUAAAAUACUUAGUAUGCAGUAGAUGUUAUUCUAAGUGCUUGGUAGAUAUCAACACAUUUAAUAAUCAAAACAACUCUAAGAGGUAAUUAGUACUAUUAUCUCCAUUUUAUUACUGAGGAAACCAAAGCACAAAGAGAGAAAGAAAAGAAAGAGAAAAAAGGAAGAAAGAAAAGAAAGAUGAAAGAAAGAAAGAGAAAGAAGAGAGAGGGAGAGAGAGAAAGAAAGAGAAGGAAAGAAAGAAGGAAGAAGAAAGAAAGAAAGAAAGAAAGAAAGAAAGAAAGAAAGAAAGAAAGAAAGAAAGAAAGAAAGAAAGAAAGAAAAAAGGAAGGAAGGAAAAGAAACACAUGGAAAGUGCUUCUUUGGACCUUUUAAGUUGCAUUAUCCCAUAAAAUGUGGUGGAUUCAAUGUUGUAUGGCCUGUAAAACUAAGUAAUGAAGGCUGAUAUGUACCCACCUGGCUCUGUCUUGGGAUCACACAACUUGGGAGCCAAAACAGUGAGACUUAUAAGAAUCUCAAGGAUGGUGUCCCAAGGCAAACUCAUGGCAAGAUCAAGAAAGAGAAUGGCCUGUCUUGACAAGAUUUGUGGUUUUGGCUUUCGUCUGAUGGAAUGAAUUGUACACAAAUACACAGAAAUCCCACAAAUAUUAAAAUAAUUGUAUCAACUUGUAAGAAAAAGGGAAAGAAAUAGCUUAAAAUGGAAUAUUGCUAAGCCCUCAAACCUUUACAAGCAGGAAAUAGGUGUAAACAGGCUUAGGAAAAUGGAAGGUGGACUCAGGGCAGAUUGAGGAGAUCUUGGAGUGCAGCAAAGAGCCAUAGAGAGCAAUUUCCAGGGAGUAGGACUGAACUCUAACCAAAUAAUUGGCAGCAUGUGCCUGGCAUUUCAGGAUUGACAUGGACCGGUGACUACUGUGUUCCUUCCCAUUCCCCACCCUUUUGUGUAGGAUUGUCUGUAGCAGUUUCCCAAUGCCUGUUCCUCCACUUGACGUUGGGUAUUUGGAGAACAAGAAAAAUUCUCUUUUUAGGUCAGAUGUGUGACAUGUAUCACAUUGUAAAAAAGAGUGCUCAAUGAGCUGUAUUUCAGGAAUUGCACUUAAGGGGAAUUAUUUUUACCUAUAUUGGAUUAAUAUGAUAAGAUUUUGAACUUUGAGCUUAUGUAAUUAUGAAGUGAGACCUUUAGUCUUGGGGAAUGACUGUAUUUUAUAUGCGAGAGGUAUAUAAAUCACUGUGGCCUGAAGAUAGACUGUGGCAGAUUGUAUUUUUCAAAGAUUUCCUGUCACACUUUUUUUUUAUUCUUUAUUUUUCUCUUUCUUUCUCUUUCCUCUUUCUCUUUCCCUUCCUCCCUUCCUUCCUUCUUUCCUUCCUUCCUUCCUUCCUUCCUUCCUUCCUUCCUUCCUUCCUUCCUUCUUUUCUUUCUUUCUUUCUGAGAGGGUCUCACUCUGUUUCCUGGCUAGAGUGGUGUCACAUUCAUAGCUCACUGUAGCUCAAACUCCUGAGUGCAAACAAUCCUCCUACAUCAGCCUCCCAAGUAGCUUGGACCACAGGUGUGCAUCCACUCCUGGCUAAUUUUUUAAUUUUAAUUUUUGUAGAGACGGGGUCUCACUUUGUUGCUCAGACUGAUCUUGAAUUCCUGGCUUCAAGAGAUCCUGCUGCCUCAACCUCUAAACUUGCUGGGAUUGCAGGUGUGAACCACCAUGCCCAGCUACUUUCUUUUUCUUACAAUAUGCCUUUGAUGCUCUUCCCAUCAAGAGGUAUUCCUUUCCCUUGAAUAUGGGCAAGGCUGUGAUUAUUAAUGCUAUAUGACUUUUGAGAGUAGGUCAUGAAGCAUGAUACAUUUUCCUAGUUCAUUUAGGAUGCUUGCUCUUAAUACCUAGCCCCUAUGCUUGUAUAAGUCCAAGAGACCUGUUGUGGGGAGGCUCACAUGAAGAAGAACGCAGGCACCUAGCCUACAGUCUGAUUGAGCUCUCAUCUGAUAACCCAUAAGAACUUGAGAGCCUUGUGAGUAAACCAUCUUGAAUCUUUCAGGACCCAGUUGAAACACUUCAGCUGAUGCUGCAUGGAUCAUUGCGGAUUUGUGAGCAAAAUAAAUUAAUAUAGCUUUUUGUUUUAAUUAAACAAUAUUUUUUGAGACAAGAUCUCAUUUUGUCACCCAGGUGGGAGUACAGUGGCACAUUCACAGAUCACUGUAGCCUCAAAUUCCUAAGCACAGGAGGUCCUCCCACCUCAGCCUCCCCAGUAGCUGAGACCACAGCAUGUGCCACUGUGUCUGGCUAAUUUUUUAUUUUUUUGUAGAAACGGAGUCUUGCUAUGUUGCCCAGGCUGGCCUCAUGUGAUCCACUUGCCUCAGUCUUCCAAAUUGUUGGGAUUACAAGUGUGAGGCACUGCACUGAGCCCAAUAUUCCUUUUUAAGCUACUAAGUUUUGGACUGAUUUGCUUCCCAGCAGUAUACGAUUGAUAAAACACAGAAUAUAGAAUAAAAUUAAUCUCUUAUGUUGUCCUAUGAGGCUUUGUGAGAUUUAGUUUCUACCAACACCCCAAAGUCAUGUCAUACCAUUUUUCACUGUGCUUACUUUGCUUCACUGACUUUUCUCCUGUUUUCUAAAACUAGCUAGUUCUUAUCUUCAGGCUUUGUCAUUGUCAUUCCCUGCUGAGAAUAUUGUCUGUCCAAAUCUUGUAAUUCAGACUCAAAAAUAGUCUGUGGCCACUCAAUCUAAAGUAACCCACCACAAACUCUAGCCCAUCUCCCUAUUUAUUUUCAUCAUGAUAUUUAUAUCUAUCUCAUCUAAAUUUUAUCUAUUUGUCAUCUAUCUAAUUGAAAUUUCAUGUUUCUUUACUACUAAUACGCAAGCUCUGUUAAGACAGAAGUAUUUAGUUUAAUUAGAUCCCAUUUGUCAAUUUUGGUUUUUGUUGCCAUUGCUCUUGGUGUUUUAGACAUGAAGUCUUUGCCCAUGCCUAUGUUCUGAAUGGUAUUGCCUAGGUUUUUGUCUAGGAUUUUUAUGGUUUUAGGUCUAACAUUUAAGUCUUUAAUCCAUCUUGAAUUAAUUUUUGUAUAAGGCGUAAGGAAGGGAUCCAGUUUCAGCUUUCUACAUAUGGCUAGUCAGUUUUCCCAGCACUAUUUCUUAAACAGGGAAUCCUUUCCCCGUUUCUUGUUUUUGUCAGGUUUGUCAAAGAUCAGAUAGUUGUAGAUAUGUGGCAUUAUUUCUGAGGGCUCUGUUCUAUUCCAUUGGCCUAUAUCUCUGUUAUAGGGACACUUUUACACUGUUGGUGGGACUGUAAACUAGUUCAACCACUGUAGAAGUCAGUGUGGCGAUUCCUCAGGGAUCUAGAACUAGAAAUACCAUUUGACCCAGCCAUCUCAUUACUGGGUACAUACCCAAAGGAUUAUAAACCAUGUUGCUAUAAAGACACAUGCACACGUAUGUUUAUUGUGGCACUAUUCAUAAUAGCAAAGACUUGGAACCAACCCAAAUGUCCAACAAUGAUAGACUGGAUUAAGAAAAUGUGGCACAUAUACACCAUGGAAUACUAUGCAGCCAUAAAAAAUGAUGAGUUCAUGUCCUUUGUAGAGACAUGGAUGAAGCUGGAAACCAUCAUUCUCAGCAAACUAUUGCAAGGACAAAAAACUGAACACCACAUGUUCUCACUUGUAGGUAGGAAUUGAACAAUGAGAACACAUGGACACAGGAAGGAGAACAUCACACACCGGGGCCUGUUGUGAGGUGGGGGGAGCGGGGAGGGAUAGCAUUUGGAGAUAUACCUAAUGUAAAUGACGAGUUAAUGGGUGCAGCACCCCAACAUGGCACAUGUAUACAUAUGUAACAAACCUGCACGUUGUGCACAUGUACCCUAGAACUUAAAGUAUAAUAAAAAAAAAAGAAAAAAAAGAAAGACAGAAGUAUUGUUCAUCUUGUUUUCUUCCCUAAUCACGUUACCUAGA
rnacentral:lncRNA from 1 species